rnacentral:rRNA from 1 species
UACGAAGGGGGCUAGCGUUGCUCGGAAUCACUGGGCGUAAAGCGCACGUAGGCGGAUCUUUUAAGUCAGGGGUGAAAUCCUGGAGCUCAACUCCAGAACUGCCUUUGAUACUGGGGAUCUCGAGUCCGGGAGAGGUGAGUGGAACUCCGAGUGUAGAGGUGAAAUUCGUAGAUAUUCGGAAGAACACCAGUGGCGAAGGCGGCUCACUGGCCCGGUACUGACGCUGAGGUGCGAAAGCGUGGGGAGCAAACAGG